CACGUAGGGGCAGCAGUCGUUCGAUCGAAUUGUGGCGUAAAGCGCGUGUAGGCGGUCCGGUAAGUCCGCUGUGAAAGUCGGGGGCUCAACCCUCGGAUGCCGGUGGAUACUGUCGGGCUUGAGUACGGAAGAGGCGAGUGGAAUUCCUGGUGUAGCGGUGAAAUGCGCAGAUAUCAGGAGGAACACCAUAGCGAAGGCAGCUCGCUGGGACGUUACUGACACUGAGGCGCGAAAGCGUGGGGAGCGAACAGG
rnacentral:rRNA from 1 species